rnacentral:rRNA from 1 species
CGCAAGCCUGACGGAGCAAGACCGCGUGCGGGAUGACGGCCUAAUGGUUGAAAACCGCUUUUCUCUGGGAAGAUGAUGACGGUACCAGAAGAAUCAGCCUCGGCUAACUCCGUGCCAGCAGCCGCGGUAAUACGGAGGAGGCAAGCGUUAUCCGGAAUUAUUGGGCGUAAAGCGUCCGUAGGUGGUUAUUCAAGUCUGCUGUCAAAGCGUGGGGCUUAACUCCAUAGAGGCAGAGGAAACUGGAUGACUUGAGUGCGGUAGGGGUCGAGGGAAUUCCCAGCGUAGCGGAGAAAUGCGUAAAUAUUGGAAAGAACACCAUUGGCGAAAGCGCUCAACUGGGCCUGCACUGACNCUGAGGGACGAAAGCUAGGGGAGCG